rnacentral:rRNA from 1 species
AAAUUAGAGUGUUCAAAGCAGGCAGAUCCAAUUUUCUGCCACCGAAUACAUUAGCAUGGGAUAAUGGAAUAGGACCCUGUCCUCCUAUUUUCAGUUGGUUUUGGCAGCGCGAGGACUAGGGUAAUGAUUAAUAGGGAUAGUUGGGGGCAUUAAUAUUUAAUUGUCAGAGGUGAAAUUCUUGGAUUUAUGAAAGAUUAACUUCUGCGAAAGCAUCUGCCAAGGAUGUUUUCAUUAAUCAAGAACGAAAGUUAGGGGAUCGAAGACGAUCAGAUACCGUCGUAGUCUUAACCAUAAACGAUGCCGACCAGCGAUUAGGAGACGUUGAAUACAAAACACCACCAUCGGUGCGGUCGUCCUUGGCGUCGGUCUUUCGGGGCCGGCGCGGGGACGGCUUAGCCCGGUGGCACCGGUGAAUGACUCCCCUAGCAGCUU